rnacentral:rRNA from 1 species
CCUACGGGAGGCAGCAGUGGGGAAUAUUGGACAAUGGGCGAAAGCCUGAUCCAGCCAUGCCGCGUGUGUGAAGAAGGCCUUCGGGUUGUAAAGCACUUUCAGUGGGGAAGAAAGCCUUGGGGCUAAUACCCUCGAGGAAGGACAUCACCCACAGAAGAAGCACCGGCUAACUCCGUGCCAGCAGCCGCGGUAAUACGGAGGGUGCGAGCGUUAAUCGGAAUUACUGGGCGUAAAGCGCGCGUAGGCGGUCUGAUAAGCCGGUUGUGAAAGCCCCGGGCUCAACCUGGGAACGGCAUCCGGAACUGUCAGGCUAGAGUGCAGGAGAGGAAGGUAGAAUUCCCGGUGUAGCAGUGAAAUGCGUAGAGAUCGGGAGGAAUACCAGUGGCGAAGGCGGCCUUCUGGACUGACACUGACGCUGAGGUGCGAAAGCGUGGGUAGCAAACAGGAUUAGAUACCCCAGUAGUC